UGGGGAAUAUUGCACAAUGGGCGCAAGCCUGAUGCAGCGACGCCGCGUGAGGGAUGACGGCCUUCGGGUUGUAAACCUCUGUUAGCAUCGAAGAAGCGAAAGUGACGGUAGGUGCAGAGAAAGCGCCGGCUAACUACGUGCCAGCAGCCGCGGUAAUACGUAGGGCGCGAGCGUUGUCCGGAAUUAUUGGGCGUAAAGAGCUUGUAGGCGGUUGGUCGCGUCUGCUGUGAAAGGCUGGGGCUUAACCCUGGUUUUGCAGUGGGUACGGGCUAACUAGAGUGCAGUAGGGGAGACUGGAAUUCCUGGUGUAGCGGUGGAAUGCGCAGAUAUCAGGAGGAACACCGAUGGCGAAGGCAGGUCUCUGGGCUGUAACUGACGCUGAGAAGCGAAAGCAUGGGGAGCGAACAGGAUUAGAUACCCUGGUA
rnacentral:rRNA from 1 species